UAGGGAAUCUUCCGCAAUGGGCGAAAGCUUGACGGAGCAACGCCGCGUGAGUGAUGAAGGUCUUCGGAUCGUAAAACUCUGUUAUUAGGGAAGAACAAAUGUGUAAGUAACUAUGCACGUCUUGACGGUACCUAAUCAGAAAGCCACGGCUAACUACGUGCCAGCAGCCGCGGUAAUACGUAGGUGGCAAGCGUUAUCCGGAAUUAUUGGGCGUAAAGCGCGCGUAGGCGGUUUUUUAAGUCUGAUGUGAAAGCCCACGGCUCAACCGUGGAGGGUCAUUGGAAACUGGAAAACUUGAGUGCAGAAGAGGAAAGUGGAAUUCCAUGUAUAGCGGUGAAAUGCGCAGAGAUAUGGAGGAACACCAGUGGCGAAGGCGACUUUCUGGUCUGUAACUGACGCUGAUGUGCGAAAGCGUGGGGAGCAAACAGG
rnacentral:rRNA from 1 species